UAUUGGAGUCUGGAAUACAAU
rnacentral:piRNA from 1 species